AUUGAACGCUGGCGGCAGGCCUAACACAUGCAAGUCGAACGGUAACAGGAAGAAGCUUGCUUCUUUGCUGACGAGUGGCGGACGGGUGAGUAAUGUCUGGGAAACUGCCUGAUGGAGGGGGAUAACUACUGGAAACGGUAGCUAAUACCGCAUAACGUCGCAAGACCAAAGAGGGGGACCUUCGGGCCUCUUGCCAUCGGCUGUGCCCAGAUGGGAUUAGCUAGUAGGUGGGGUAACGGCUCACCUAGGCGACGAUCCCUAGCUGGUCUGAGAGGAUGACCAGCCACACUGGAACUGAGACACGGUCCAGACUCCUACGGGAGGCAGCAGUGGGGAAUAUUGCACAAUGGGCGCAAGCCUGAUGCAGCCAUGCCGCGUGUAUGAAGAAGGCCUUCGGGUUGUAAAGUACUUUCAGCGGGGAGGAAGGGAGUAAAGUUAAUACCUUUACUCAUUGACGCUACCCGCAGAAGAAGCACCGGCUAACUCCGUG
rnacentral:rRNA from 1 species